CCCUCAUUCACUCUCAUCUGAUUUUUGAAGACUCUCUCAAGUGUUCUCUCCAUUUUCAACCCCAAGAACACCAAAGAAACUUGGAAGCUAAGUCUUGGUCUAGGAAGGGUUUUCCCUAAGUUGUUUAGGGUUUUUGAAAGGUUUUGGAGGAGCCAAAGCUAAUAGGAAGGUCCAAACCUUAAGCAAGAACACCAAAGAGGUAAGAGCAAGGGCAAGGCAGAGCAGUGAGCGCUGGAGUCUUCCUUGAAAAUGUACAUGUGGACCGACCUUUUGGGAAGCCUUUUUAUUUUUGGAAAUGUUGUGUAAUUUUCCUAAACUAGGCUCACUCUAAUCUUUGUAAAACAUGUUUGUAACUAAAUGUUAAGUAUGGCCAUACGACUUUUUAAAAAGUUUUUUUUUUC